GCCUGGGUGGCUCAGUCGGUUGAGUGUCUGACUUCAGCUCAGGUCAUGAUCUAGCGGUUCACGAGUUCGAGUCCUGCAUCGGGCU
rnacentral:tRNA from 1 species